AUUGCAGAGCUGAAACUAUCUGUUGAGAGGUUUUUGAAAGACUGAAAGUCUAGCCAGUUAGUCUAAUAUAGUUCCCAAUAAUUUGGACGAUUGUAUUUUGAUUUGGUAUAAUAAUCGGCACCUGCAUGGAGGUCUUUUGGAGUCUUUAUUCACAGAGAGUUGUUGUGAUUCAGGUUUUGAAGCUAUUCGAUGUUUGGCUGCCAAACUUUGUUGGGUUAAUAAAGAACUCACAGGUUCUUACUUUGGGAAGCUGCUGUCAAAGUUGGCUUGGAAUGGUUGUAUCCACGAUGGUUGGAAGUCUUGGAAUCAAAAUUUUGCGACGUUGAGAUCUUAUUGCAGUUGAUUUUGCUGUCAGAAUGAUAGAGUGAUAAAGAACCUUUGGUGGCACUAAGGCCUCGGAUUAUGCCUGGUAGGCCUAAAGAGAAAAGGAUAACAGAGGAAGGAGAAUCUAAAAAUGGAUUCAAAAUGUCAAGACAGGCACAGAAAUCACAUGCCAUUUGUGCUUCAAGCGAGGCCACGAAUCAAGAAAUUGCCCAUGGAAACAAACAAAAGGAGAAGGUAACGUUUAUUCAUUCUGUGUUUCUAGUCUCUGUUUGUAUCAAUAUUUCUGACUUUGUUUUCUAAAGUGAACAGGAUGAAGAGAUAGCCAGACAAAGAGAAGGAACCAACUUGUCACAGAGAUGCAUCAUAACAAUGUCACCGCUCAAAAGCGUUGAUGGGAAGGCAGUGGAGUCAUUUCUCUACCAAGAGAUACCAAUAAUGUUGUGGUCAAUGCUAAGAAGGUAGAGAGCUCAUCUCACAUAUUUAUCACUACAGUAGGAUCAGAGGCAGAGCUUUAUGGUAAUAAACGAGUUGUUAUGUAAUAUGGAUUUCUUUCGUCCAGCAGCAAAAGGAAGACGGUAUGAAAGAGAAGGAAGAGAAAUGAAAACAAGCGGGUGGAGCAUUUGAAGGACACUGGAAGUUUUGGAUCAACAAGAUCGACAGGUAAAAGGAAAA